CCCCCACCGGAGACCAGAGCGGAGGCCGCACCGAGGGCCUCAGGUUCCGACCCCACCGCGCCUCUAGCCGCAGCUGCCCGCCGGGCAUCCCAACCCUUCCGCAGCGAGAGGUGGAGCCGGAGGCUGGGUUGUGGGCUCCAGGUGGGCUCUGGGAGGGAUGAAGCAGGCCCUGGUGGACGAUACUGAGGAUGUGUCCCUGGAUUUUGGCAACGAAGAGGAACUGGCGUUUCGGAAAGCCAAGAUCAGGCACCCGGUGGCCACGUUUUUCCACCUGUUUUUCCGAGUGAGUGCCACCAUCACCUAUGUGGGCUGUGACUGGUUCAGCAGAAGCUUCGUGGGCUGUUUUGUCACCGUGCUUCUCCUCCUGUCCUUCGACUUCUGGUCUGUGAAGAAUGUAACCGGACGACUCCUGGUGGGCCUUCGCUGGUGGAACCAGAUCGACGAAGAUGGGAAAAGCCACUGGAUUUUUGAAGCCAGAAAGGUCUCUCCAAAUACCGUGGCUGCCACAGAGGCGGAAGCUCGGGUCUUCUGGCUCGGCCUCAUCAUCUGCCCCAUGAUUUGGAUCGUGUUCUUUUUUAGCUCCUUAUUUUCCUUGAAGCUCAAGUGGCUGGCCCUUGUGAUAGCUGGGAUUUCUCUCCAAGCCGCUAACCUGUACGGCUACGUCCUUUGUAAGAUGGGAGGCGAGAGUGACAUCAGCAAAGUCACAGCCAGUUUUCUGUCCCAGACGGUGCUCCAGACGGCUCUUCCUGAAAUGGUCUGAACCAUCUUAAAUGUGAACAGUGCAGCUUCACACCAAGACCUUGAGCAACCAGCCCUACAGGCUUUCAGUUCACUGUGGGUUUGCUCUGGCCUUGAAUCAGCGGGAUCAGGCCACACACAUGUGAGACAGAAAGCCAGGGCAGCCUCUUCCCCUUGCAGGCCUGUCCAAGAGACUUCCAGAAGCCUGGCCUUGAGGGGCUGGAGAUUCACAAGUAUUAGGCUUAUUUUCCGAGGCAGCGAAGGCUCAAGUGAGAGGUUCUGUAAUGGAACAGCUUCCGACAGAGAAGAAAACUCCAUGACCCACAAGCCGCUGGUUUUUUACAUGAAGCAGGCCUUGGGGCAGAGGUUUGAGAUGUUUUUAUUUUUAAAACGGCACAUCUGUAAAGAAUGCCCUUUACAUAUGUUCUAAAGAAAAGUGUACAAAUGUUAGAUGAUUAAAGUGUCUCUGAAACAGUGACUUCA